GGGGGCGUAAAGGUUUCGACGGGGAUUUUGAGAUACUGUAAGCGGGCAGAGGUGCGGGAGCUCUUUAAAACGCCGCAAUUUUAAAAAUAAACGCUAAUAACACAUUAGUUAAAGCUGCCUAACUUCGGCGGCCGUCGUACCUGCGAGUACUGCGGCGCGGGAUACGGCGUGACACAGCAGUGAACGUGAACGUCCCUAAGCUUUGCGGGACGUCAUGAACUUAUGAAGCUACCUCUUGCUUUUUCCCGUCUGCCGGAUUUUGCAAGGGGGAAUUUAAAGGCAGUCUGCGCCCGGAGAAAACGGUAAGGAUGAGUUUUCGGACAGGAGUUCGAUUCUCCUCGCCUCCACCA
rnacentral:tmRNA from 1 species